UUUCAAUGAAAUGCAUAAACCAAAGUCUAACUAAUACAGAUUUACGCUGCUCAAAAUUAAAUGUCAUGGAGAUAAUGAGCCACUACCAUGCUUAUGCAAGAGAAAACAUAAUAACCAACAGUAUAGUAAGCAAGUACCUACUCCUGUAUUGCAAAAAAAGAAACAGAAAACAAUUUUUAUGCAUACUCCACAUACUGUAGCUCAAGCCUUCUACAAAUGGUCCAGUCUGACACAACAAUUACAGCUUCGUGGAUAAGCUUAGUGGUUUUUUUUCUGUUUUCCAGGCAGAUAUUUCUGAUUAUACUGUCCGCUUUCGGUGUUUUCUUGCGUUUAAAAGGUGGUCUUCUUGGACCAAACUCUUCCUCUGUAUCAAUUCUUUUUCUUACUUGCAUUACGGUUUGGUAAGAAACCUUUGCGGUUUGUGCAAUUUUUCAUUGAGAAUAAUUUGUAUUUUGUAAAAGACAUGUUUAUCAAUUUUUAAUGUAACUGUAAUAAUAAUAACAAUGUAUAAUGCAGGUUGUUGACCAAUGGUUUAUAAUC